rnacentral:sRNA from 1 species
CCACAAAAACAAAAAAAAAAAAGAGUGGAAGGCUAUAAACAGUUGUCUAAUCUUAGAUCGUUUGAUAGAAGUUUGUUAACCUAAACGGUGACCGGGGUGCCUACAAGGCCGCGGAUUUACCUCAAGGAGAGAAUAGGAAUGGACGGAGGUGGAGGAGGUGGCAAUGAAAGCGGUAGAUUUAUCCGUCCUCUCCGUCCUGAGCAGCGCCAGUUCGGACGAGAGGAUGGCAGUGAUCAGUGUGAUGAUAAUUCUGACCAUGAUCAGUGUCGGAGAUAGAAAGACUACAAGCGCCACAAUAACCUAAACAAAAAUGGUCAUGACCUUUACCGAAUUCGAAGCACAACCGACGAAAGCAGCACGUUACUGGACUGCAAGUCCAGUAACCAGUAAGCUGGCUACAAAUCUCCUAUGCCUAUACCUACUUGCAGCCAACCUCGUGGAUAUCAGCCACAGACCAGAAAUGGAAUAACCAGUGGAACAAAUCUUCCACAUAAAAGCAGAGAAGGUGAACGGGAAACCUGAAUGAGGGUCAGUUUGGUGGCAACAAUAUACAGGCUGGCAGUGAUGCCCUCAAAAUCAUCAUUAUCUUUGGCGUGACCAAGGGAAUCACCAAGUUUGAAAUCACGAGCGCAUUGUAAAGGGCUGAAUACACGUCAAACGGAACAGCGUCAAAGACUCGAUGAAUAUCCAUGGAAAUUAAUCAAAUAAAUCCGUCAAGCGGUAUAGCAUUUAUCGAAUUUACCACCGUUGAGGAAGUGAAACAAUGGAUGGAGUUAACACAGUUAUCAGCGCCAUAAGCAAGACAGUUUUGAAACCCAACCAGCAGUCGGCAGUGAUCAUGAAAUGUGUGUUUCCGGCUUAGUUAUCUCACAGUAUAAAAUCAUAAGAUUAUUGAUUGAAAAGAAGGUCUGAAGAGAAGUACCUACAAGGUCUAAGACAUGACACAUGACAGGUCUUGACACGCUCGUUGACUCGAUGGAGUUGCACAAUUCCUGUACAUCGCUGGAUCCACCUCUGACCCUAGAUGAACGUGCUGUAUCUAUCAGCUACAACAUCGAAGCUGACAUCAGCGAAAAAAUAACCGAGACGUCGCACCUUAUAACCUCUACUAUGUAUGUCCCCUGACAUCGGAGGCAUUCAGUGUGGAGGUAACCCGGGUGAGACUGCGUAUUACGUUCAGUACUACACGGACUACUUCACGGCGACGAUAGCCAAGAUCGAAAACAGUGGAGAUACCAAGUUAACUGAAGCGAACUCUGAAGCGGUAGCCCUCUCGGCUAUCCAACGUAAGCAGGAGAAAAAUAAAUUUAGUGAGUCGACGACUAGAGCUGCUCAGAAUGUGAGUAAUAGUUCCGCUCCUCUUGGUAGUCGCCGUCAAUCAGGUCGCAGUAGAGAUCCUAGUUCUGACUGCCGCCGGAAUGUCUAUUGUAAUGCGAGGAUCG